rnacentral:rRNA from 1 species
GUAACGUAGGGUGCAAGGCGUGUCCGGAAUUAUUGGGCGUAAAGAGCUCGUAGGCGGUUUGUCGCGUCUGCUGUGAAAACUCAGGGCUUAACCCCUGAGCCUGCAGUGGGUACGGGGCAGACUAGAGUGUGGUAGGGGAGAUCGGAAUUCCUGGUGUAGCGGUGGAAUGCGCAGAGUAUCAGGAGGAACACCGGUGGCGAAGGCGGAUCUCGUGGGCCAAUAACUGACGCUGGAGGAGCGAAAGCAUGGGGAGCGAACAGG